CUGCUUCCCUCUCAACGACAGGAAGUGGCACACAUGGCAGCGUCAUGGCCCUGCAUAUCCAUUGAAGGUGGGAGGCACUCCUGAUAUUUAUUCACAGGCACCUGGUUGGUAUCAUUGAGAACGAAGGGAGGCAGCAGGCAAAAAUCAAGAGGGCUACAUACAUAAAUGCGUGAGGCAGUGAAGGCAGCAGAUGAACAUAGCAAGAAGUGGGAACAUCUCAUGUGAUACAUAGCGGUCAAAUGUUCCGCCACCAAAGUCAUGCACAAGUUAUUUGUAGUCUUUCCAGUAAUUUCCAAAAUAAAGGGUUAUUAUUGAAAAGCUAUCCUCUCUGGACACACAAAACAUGAGAAUUGAA